rnacentral:miRNA from 2 species
AAAACUCGAGCAAACUUUUUGG